UACGUAGGGGGCUAGCGUUGUCCGGAUUUAUUGGGCGUAAAGAGCUCGUAGGCGGCUUGUUGCGUCGACUGUGAAAACCCGCGGCUUAACUGCGGGCUUGCAGUUGAUACGGGCAGGCUAGAGUUCGGUAGGGGAGACUGGAAUUCCUGGUGUAGCGGUGAAAUGCGCAGAUAUCAGGAGGAACACCGGUGGCGAAGGCGGGUCUCUGGGCCGAUACUGACGCUGAGGAGCGAAAGCGUGGGGAGCGAACAGG
rnacentral:rRNA from 1 species